rnacentral:lncRNA from 1 species
GAGGAAGAGGGCGGGAGCAAACCUUGACUAGCUUGUUUCAUUAGGCAAAUUUUGGUAUCAAGAGAUGAAAGUGAAAGGCAGGAUUUGAAGCUUGAGACAUUCUAUCCAUGAGCAGGCAAGAGACAGCCUAGCGAACUGAAACAUCUUAGUAGCCAGAGGAAAAGUUCUGUUCUUCAUUUGAUGAGAAGGGUGGGCUCAUAGCCCCGCAGAUGUAGGUUGGCUUGCCACGCCAACUGAACUGCGUAACCAAAGCGAUUCCUGUUAUUGGAAGAUAGGUUUAACCUAUGUCGGUUCGAGUCCGGUGACUCUCUCCAUUAUUAGUUCGGGGU